AGAACGAACGCUGGCGGCAGGCUUAACACAUGCAAGUCGAGCGCCUCGCAAGAGGAGCGGCAGACGGGUGAGUAACACGUGAGUAACUUGCCCCAGACUCUGGGAUAACUCCGGGAAACCGGUGCUAAUACUGGAUAUGACAUCAAGCCGCAUGGUUAUGGUGUGGAAAGUUUUUCGGUCUGGGAUGGGCUCGCGGCCUAUCAGCUUGUUGGUGAGGUAGUGGCUCACCAAGGCGACGACGGGUA
rnacentral:rRNA from 1 species